AUUGAACGCUGGCGGCAGGCCUAACACAUGCCAGUCGAGCGGAGCGGCGGACGGGUGAGUAAUGCCUAGGUAUCUGCCUGGUAGUGGGGGAUAACGUCCGCAAACGGGCGCGAAUACCGCAUACUCUCAGAUGAGCCUAGGUCGGAUUAGCUAGUUGGUGGGGUAAAGGCCUACCAAGGCGACGAUCCGUAACUGUACUGAGUGGAUGAUCAGUCACACUGGAACUGAGACACGGUCCAGACUCCUACGGGAGGCAGCAGUGGGGAAUAGUGGACAAUGGGCGAAAGCCUGAUCCAGCCAUGCCGCGUGUGUGAAGAAGGUCUUCGGAUUGUAAAGCACUUUAAGUUGGGAGGCGUUACCAACAGAAUAAGCACCGGCUAACUUCGUGCCAGCAGCCGCGGUAAUUC
rnacentral:rRNA from 1 species